CCUACGGGAGGCAGCAGUGAGGAAUAUUGGUCAAUGGACGAGAGUCUGAACCAGCCAAGUAGCGUGAAAGAUGACUGCCCUAUGGGUUGUAAACUUCUUUUAUAUGGGAAUAAAAUGUUCCACGUGUGGGAUUUUGUAUGUACCAUAUGAAUAAGGAUCGGCUAACUCCGUGCCAGCAGCCGCGGUAAUACGGAGGAUCCGAGCGUUAUCCGGAUUUAUUGGGUGUAAAGGGAGCGUAGGUGGAUUGUUAAGUCAGUUGUGAAAGUUUGCGGCUCAACCGUAAAAUUGCAGUUGAAACUGGCAGUCUUGAGUACAGUAGAGGUGGGCGGAAUUCGUGGUGUAGCGGUGAAAUGCUUAGAUAUCACGAAGAACUCCGAUUGCGAAGGCAGUUCACUGGACUGCAACUGACACUGAGGCUCGAAAGUGUGGGUAUCAAACAGGAUUAGAUACCCCUGUAGUC
rnacentral:rRNA from 1 species